GAGCGGCGAACGGGUGAGUAACACGUGAGCAACCUGCCCCUGACUUCGGGAUAAGCCUGGGAAACCGGGUCUAAUACCGGAUACGACCUCCGCGCGCAUGUGUGGGGGUGGAAAGUUUUUUCGGUCGGGGAUGGGCUCGCGGCCUAUCAGCUUGUUGGUGGGGUAGUGGCCUACCAAGGCGACGACGGGUAGCCGGCCUGAGAGGGCGACCGGCCACACUGGGACUGAGACACGGCCCAGACUCCUACGGGAGGCAGCAGUGGGGAAUCUUGCGCAAUGGGCGGAAGCCUGACGCAGCGACGCCGCGUGGGGGAUGACGGCCUUCGGGUUGUAAACCUCUUUCAGCAGGGACGAAGUUGACGUGUACCUGUAGAAGAAGCGCCGGCUAACUACGUGCCAGCAGCCGCGGUAAUACGUAGGGCGCGAGCGUUGUCCGGAAUUAUUGGGCGUAAAGAGCUCGUAGGUGGCUUGUCGCGUCUGCCGUGAAAGAUCUGGGCUCAACCCGGGUUCUGCGGUGGAUACGGGCUGGCUAGAGGCAGGCAGGGGAGAACGGAAUUCCU
rnacentral:rRNA from 1 species